AACGAACGCUGGCGGCAUGCCUAACACAUGCAAGUCGAACGAGACCUUCGGGUCUAGUGGCGCACGGGUGCGUAACGCGUGGGAACCUGCCCUUAGGUUCGGAAUAACUCCCCGAAAGGGGUGCUAAUACCGGAUAAUGUCUUCGGACCAAAGAUUUAUCGCCUUUGGAUGGGCCCGCGUUGGAUUAGCUAGUUGGUAGGGUAAAAGCCUACCAAGGCGACGAUCCAGAGCUGGUCUGAGAGGAUGAUCAGCCACACUGGGACUGAGACACGGCCCAGACUCCUACGGGAGGCAGCAGUGGGGAAUAUUGGACAAUGGGCGAAAGCCUGAUCCAGCAAUGCCGCGUGAGUGGUGAAGGCCUUAGGGUUGUAAAGCUCUUUUACCCGGGAUGAUAAUGACAGUACCGGGAGAAUAAGCGCCGGCUAACUCCGUG
rnacentral:rRNA from 1 species